GACGUAGGGCGCGAGCGUUGUCCGGAAUUAUUGGGCGUAAAGGGCUCGUAGGCGGUCUGUUGCGUCGGGAGUGAAAACUUACAGCUUAACUGUGAGCGUGCUUCCGAUACGGGCAGACUUGAGGUAUUCAGGGGAGAACGGAAUUCCUGGUGUAGCGGUGAAAUGCGCAGAUAUCAGGAGGAACACCGGUGGCGAAGGCGGUUCUCUGGGAAUAUCCUGACGCUGAGGAGCGAAAGUGUGGGGAGCGAACAGG
rnacentral:rRNA from 1 species